rnacentral:rRNA from 1 species
AGUCGAGCGAACGGACGAGAAGCUUGCUUCUCUGAUGUUAGCGGCGGACGGGUGAGUAACACGUGGAUAACCUACCUAUAAGACUGGGAUAACUUCGGGAAACCGGAGCUAAUACCGGAUAAUAUUUUGAACCGCAUGGUUCAAAAGUGAAAGACGGUCUUGCUGUCACUUAUAGAUGGAUCCGCGCUGCAUUAGCUAGUUGGUAAGGUAACGGCUUACCAAGGCAACGAUGCAUAGCCGACCUGAGAGGGUGAUCGGCCACACUGGAACUGAGACACGGUCCAGACUCCUACGGGAGGCAGCAGUAGGGAAUCUUCCGCAAUGGGCGAAAGCCUGACGGAGCAACGCCGCGUGAGUGAUGAAGGUCUUCGGAUCGUAAAACUCUGUUAUUAGGGAAGAACAUAUGUGUAAGUAACUGUGCACAUCUUGACGGUACCUAAUCAGAAAGCCACGGCUAACUACGUGCC